GACACGGCCCAGACUCCUACGGGAGGCAGCAGUGGGGAAUAUUGGACAAUGGGGGGAACCCUGAUCCAGCCAUGCCGCGUGUGUGAAGAAGGCCUUUUGGUUGUAAAGCACUUUAAGCGAGGAGGAGGCUACUCUAGUUAAUACCUAGGGAUAGUGGACGUUACUCGCAGAAUAAGCACCGGCUAACUCUGUGCCAGCAGCCGCGGUAAUACAGAGGGUGCGAGCGUUAAUCGGAUUUACUGGGCGUAAAGCGUGCGUAGGCGGCUUUUUAAGUCGGAUGUGAAAUCCCUGAGCUUAACUUAGGAAUUGCAUUCGAUACUGGGAAGCUAGAGUAUGGGAGAGGAUGGUAGAAUUCCAGGUGUAGCGGUGAAAUGCGUAGAGAUCUGGAGGAAUACCGAUGGCGAAGGCAGCCAUCUGGCCUAAUACUGACGCUGAGGUACGAAAGCAUGGGGAGCAAACAGGAUUAGAUACCCUGGUAGUCCAUGCCGUAAACGAUGUCUACUAGCCGUUGGGGCCUUUGAGGCUUUAGUGGCGCAGCUAACGCGAUAAGUAGACCGCCUGGGGAGUACGGUCGCAAGACUAAAACUCAAAUGAAUUGACGGGGGCCCGCACAAGCGGUGGAGCAUGUGGUUUAAUUCGAUGCAACGCGAAGAACCUUACCUGGUCUUGACAUACAGAGAACUUUCCAGAGAUGGAUUGGUGCCUUCGGGAACUCUGAUACAGGUGCUGCAUGGCUGUCGUCAGCUCGUGUCGUGAGAUGUUGGGUUAAGUCCCGCAACGAGCGCAACCCUUUUCCUUAUUUGCCAGCGGGUUAAGCCGGGAACUUUAAGGAUACUGCCAGUGACAAACUGGAGGAAGGCGGGGACGACGUCAAGUCAUCAUGGCCCUUACGACCAGGGCUACACACGUGCUACAAUGGUCGGUACAAAGGGUUGCUACCUAGCGAUAGGAUGCUAAUCUCAAAAAGCCGAUCGUAGUCCGGAUUGGAGUCUGCAACUCGACUCCAUGAAGUCGGAAUCGCUAGUAAUCGCGGAUCAGAAUGCCGCGGUGAAUACGUUCCCGGGCCUUGUACACACCGCCCGUCACACCAUGGGAGUUUGUUGCACCAGAAGUAGGUAGUCUAACCGUAAGGAGGACGCU
rnacentral:rRNA from 1 species